UACGUAGGGUGCAAGCGUUAAUCGGAAUUACUGGGCGUAAAGCGUGCGCAGGCGGUUUUGUAAGUCUGACGUGAAAUCCCCGAGCUUAACUUGGGAAUUGCGUUGGAGACUGCAAGGCUGGAGUCUGGCAGAGGGGGGUAGAAUUCCACGUGUAGCAGUGAAAUGCGUAGAGAUGUGGAGGAACACCGAUGGCGAAGGCGGCUCACUGGCCCGGUACUGACGCUGAUGUGCGAAAGCGUGGGGAGCAAACAGG
rnacentral:rRNA from 1 species